GGGCGGUUGGCGCAAUGGUAGCGCGCGGUCCUCCUAUUUGUCUCCCUGGUGAGCAUCAAAUACGGAUGGUUAGACUGAGGUUGCGGGUUCGAGUCCCGUGCUGCUCG